rnacentral:rRNA from 1 species
GAUGAACGCUGGCGGCGUGCCUAAUACAUGCAAGUCGAGCGAAUGGAUUAAGAGCUUGCUCUUAUGAAGUUAGCGGCGGACGGGUGAGUAACACGUGGGUAACCUGCCCAUAAGACUGGGAUAACUCCGGGAAACCGGGGCUAAUACCGGAUAACAUUUUGAACCGCAUGGUUCGAAAUUGAAAGGCGGCUUCGGCUGUCACUUAUGGAUGGACCCGCGUCGCAUUAGCUAGUUGGUGAGGUAACGGCUCACCAAGGCAACGAUGCGUAGCCGACCUAGGAAGGUGGUCGGCCACACUGGGACUGAGACACGGCCCAGACUCCUACGGGAGGCAGCAGUAGGGAAUCUUCCGCAAUGGACGAAAGUCUGACGGAGCAACGCCGCGUGAGUGAUGAAGGCUUUCGGGCCGUAAAACUCUGUUGUUAGGGAAGAACAAGUGCUAGUUGAAUAAGCUGGCACCUUGACGGUACCUAACCAGAAAGCCACGGCUAACUACGUGCCAGCAGCCGCCGUAA